CCUACGGGAGGCAGCAGUAGGGAAUCUUCCACAAUGGGCGCAAGCCUGAUGGAGCAACACCGCGUGAGUGAAGACGGGUUUCGGCUCGUAAAGCUCUGUUGUUGGAGAAGAACGUGCGUGAGAGUAACUGUUCACGCAGUGACGGUAUCCAACCAGAAAGUCACGGCUAACUACGUGCCAGCAGCCGCGGUAAUACGUAGGUGGCAAGCGUUAUCCGGAUUUAUUGGGCGUAAAGCGAGAGCAGGCGGUUGCUUAGGUCUGAUGUGAAAGCCUUCGGCUUAACCGAAGAAGUGCAGCGGAAACCGGGCAACUUGAGUGCAGAAGAGGACAGUGGAACUCAAUGUGUAGCGGUGGAAUGCGUAGAUAUAUGGAAGAACACCAGUGGCGAAGGCGGCUGUCCGGUCUGCAACUGACGCUGAGGCUCGAAAGCAUGGGUAGCGAACAGGAUUAGAUACCCCAGUAGUC
rnacentral:rRNA from 1 species